AAGUCGUAACAAGGUCUCCGUUGGUGAACCAGCGGAGGGAUCAUUACUGAGUACUACACUCUCUACCCUUUGUGAACUAUUAUACCUGUUGCUUCGGCGGCGCCCGCAAGGGUGCCCGCCGGUCUCAUCAGAACCUCUGUUUUCGAACCCGACGAUACUUCUGAGUGUUCUUAGCGAACUGUCAAAACUUUAACAACGGAUCUCUUGGCUCCAGCAUCGAUGAAGAACGCAGCGAAACGCGAUAUGUAAUGUGAAUUGCAGAAUUCAGUGAAUCAUCGAAUCUUUGAACGCACAUGGCGCCUUCCAGUAUCCUGGGAGGCAUGCCUGUCCGAGCGUCGUUUCAACCCUCGAGCCCCUGCUGGCCCGGCGUUGGGGAUCUGCCACGGCAGGCCCCUAAAACCAGUGGCGGACCCGAAGGGCCCUCUCCUUUGCGCAGUAGCAUUCGCCUCGCAUCGGGAGUCCUCGGCGUCCUGCCUCUAAACCCCCACAAGCCCGCUUCGGCGGCACCAAGGUUGACCUCGGAUCAGGUAGGAAUACCCGCUGAACUUAA
rnacentral:rRNA from 1 species